CCUACGGGAGGCUGCAGUGGGGGAUAUUGCACAAUGGGGGGAACCCUGAUGCAGCGACGCCGCGUGAGUGAAGAAGUAUUUCUGUAUGUAAAGCUCUAUCAGCAGGGAAGAAGAACGACGGUACCGGACUAAGAAGCCCCGGCGAACUACGUGACAGCAGCCGCGGUCAGACGGAGGGGGCAAGCGUUAUCCGGAUUUACUGGGUGUAAAGGGAGCGGAGACGGCUGUGCAAGUCUGAAGUGAAAGCCCAGGGCUCAACCCUGGGACUGCUUUGGAAACUGUGGAGCUAGAGGGCUGGAGAGGUAAGUGGAAUUCCUAGUGUAGCGGUGAAAUGCGUAGAUAUUAGGAGGAACACCAGUGGCGAAGGCGGCUUACUGGACAGUAACUGACGUUGGGGCUCGAACGCGUGGGGAGCAAACAGGAUUAGAUACCCCUGUAGUC
rnacentral:rRNA from 1 species